rnacentral:rRNA from 1 species
GAUGAACGCUGGCGGCGUGCCUAAUACAUGCAAGUCGAGCGAACAGACGAGGAGCUUGCUCCUCUGACGUUAGCGGCGGACGGGUGAGUAACACGUGGAUAACCUACCUAUAAGACUGGGAUAACUUCGGGAAACCGGAGCUAAUACCGGAUAAUAUAUUGAACCGCAUGGUUCAAUAGUGAAAGACGGUUUUGCUGUCACUUAUAGAUGGAUCCGCGCCGCAUUAGCUAGUUGGUAAGGUAACGGCUUACCAAGGCAACGAUGCGUAGCCGACCUGAGAGGGUGAUCGGCCACACUGGAACUGAGACACGGUCCAGACUCCUACGGGAGGCAGCAGUAGGGAAUCUUCCGCAAUGGGCGAAAGCUUGACGGAGCAACGCCGCGUGAGUGAUGAAGGGCUUCGGAUCGUAAAACUCUGUUAUUAGGGAAGAACAAAUGUGUAAGUAACUAUGCACGUCUUGACGGUACCUAAGCAGAAAGCCACGGCUAACUACGU